rfam:Lutzomyia longipalpis Contig1675, whole genome shotgun sequence.
AAAACGGUCCUUUUCAGGACCACAAAGAAUAAAAUAAAGAGUUUA